rnacentral:lncRNA from 1 species
GGGGGCAGGGCAUACAGUUCCCGAGUACAAACCAAGCGAAGCACUAGCUUUCUACACCCGUUGGCUUGCAGGCACAAAGCUCUAAAAAAUGAGGGCAGAAUCAUUAAUUAAUAACGAACAUAUUCUUCUGUAGUUAAUUUUGGAAGCAUAUUCUGCUCAACCUCUAUAGCAUGAUCAAUUUCCAAAAUCGGAGAACCAUUAAGACGGAAGCUGAUGGAUUCACCUUUUGUUGUGUGAAUGGCUUCUGUAACUGUCAACUGCGACCAAAUAAUAUUGCGGCGUGCAACCACUGACAUUUUACUUUCGCGGGAUUAGUGCUUCUCUUUCCCAUUUGGUCUUUGCUUUCCAAUUUUGGCAGCUGUUUGCUAGCUUCCGAGAGGCACAUUUCCCCGCCGGGGUAGGUGUAACUUGGGGCUAAAUCUAGUCGCACUAGAUUAUGAGAUCAUCUUUCCAGAUAGUCCAUUUUCUAAGAUAACCAGAGUCCUUGUGAAGCAUACCCAUUCCAAUUUCCGAAUCAAGAAAGACCAUGUUUGUGAAAGGCUCAAUGGUACGAAGUCUUUGUUUUACCACCUAGUCCACUAUUAGUUUCGAUCUACAUUUAUCAAAACCAUAUAACAUUGUAGAGACCGAUUUUUUAUUAAAUAAAAUUCAAAAGGUUGGGGGAUUCCAUGAAAUUUUAUAGUUUUCAAUGAAAUUAGAUCGUCCCCUUUAAGGUCUGGCAGUGUUGUAAGUCAUGGGAGGGACCAUACUACGAUUUGUUGUAAGUCGUGAGAGGGAUCAUAUUACGAUUUCGUACGAUUAAAGCAUGGUUUGGAGCAAGAAAUGGCAAGGGCAAAUGGUUAGUUGUGGUUUUUUCUGAAAGAAGUGUGAUAUUUAUGUGCCAAAUUGUAAGAAAAUUUAUUGGGAGGUGUCACUAUUCAAAAUAUAUGCACCAAGGGGUUGAAUAAGAAAUUAAAAAUUGGAGGGACUAAAAUGUAAUUUUAUGAAAAGUAUAUAAUAAUUUAGGAUUUUUAACCUUUCUUCUCUCCUCUCUCCUCUCUUCACCCCAGCCACAACUCACCACCCCGUCACCAUCGCUAGCGCUUCUCCAACCCAUGGCGACUUUGCUCUGGCCGGCGAACCUCAACCAUACAAAGCUCUCCAUCUCUCUCUCAACCUUUCUCAACCUAUCUUAUUUCCAUGCCUUCCAACUUGGUUGGGUCGCCCUGAAUCGUUGUCGCCAGCCUCCUGGACUUUUAGCAACCUCCUCCGGCUCUGCCCCACCGCCCCUAGCCCUUACUUGAGCCUCGAUUCUAGUCAGAGCUCAUUAAGGAAGGAUCAUGGCCAGAUCUUUACAUCGGCGGUCGCAAGGCACUACCUCCCUGGCCCUUAUCCCAUCAGGUUUGACCUACCCUGGUCGACAUCAAUCGCCCUAAGCCGCUCGAAGUAGAGAAGAACCCCUAUUGCACCUUACUAUUGCUGGCUAAGGCUCCUCAAGGCCGAGAUACCUGUCGGAUCGUUGGCGCUAACCAUUAAUCCCAAAAGCUCGAGCUGUUAGAAAUACACAACCAAUUCACUUAAAUCGUACAGAAACAGCGCCCACGGGUCUCGAUUGUGACUCGGCCCACCUGGCCUCACGCCACUUCGAACAUGACUCGGCCCAACCCAGCCUUACGCCAUUUCAAACAUGACUCGGCCCACAUGACCUCCCGCCACAGGGCAGGAUGCUGGUCCAUUUAAGCCAACAAUUCCCCCUCUAGCACCUACACACAUUUGCAGCAUGCAGGAAUCGAACCCGUGACCUCUGGCUCUGAUACCACUUGUCGGAUCGUUGGCGCUAACCAUUAAUCCCAAAAGCUCGAGCUGUUAGAAAUACACAACCAAUUCACUUAAAGCGUACAGAAACAGCGCCCACGGGUCUCGAUUGUGACUCGGCCCACCUGGCCUCACGCCACUUCGAACAUGACUCGGCCCAACCCAGCCUCACGCCAUUUCGAACAUGACUCGGCCCACAUGGCCUCCCGCCACAGGGCAGGAUGCUGGCCCAUUUAAACCAACAAUACCUGUUCCAACCAUCUCUGUUGCCAGCGACCCCUCCGUUGUGAAGCAUGACUGGUUGGACCGUAAUGCUCUUGGGUGCUUCUAUAGCACCCAGUGACUAGUGAUUGAGCGACCCCUCUUGGGUGCUUCUAUAGCACCUUGCUCUUCUUCAUUGCAAUAUGAUCGACCCCCAAUCACUGGUUGGACCGUAAUGCUCCCAGGGACUUUUGAGGUUUGAACGCAAGGUUGCUCCAAUUUUGUUAUCAGUAGUUGUUGGUACUCUGGAUCAUGAGAACGGUGUCAAAAACAUUGUUGCCCAUCUAAUGGUGCUAUUGGUCGACUUUCGACUCGUGGAAUCAUCGGUGAGCCUAAACUUCAAUUUCCAUAAUAAUAACAUAGUUAUUUAAAAUGUUG